rnacentral:rRNA from 1 species
UACAGAGGGUGCAAGCGUUGUUCGGAAUUACUGGGCGUAAAGCGUGCGUAGUCGGUAUUGAGAGUCGCGGGUGAAAUCCCAGGGCUUAACCCUGGAACUGCCUGCGAGACCUCAGUACUAGAGUGUGAGAGGGGAUAGUGGAAUACCCAGUGUAGCGGUGAAAUGCGUAGAGAUUGGGUGGAACACCGGUGGCGAAGGCGGAUAUCUGGCUCACAACUGACGAUCAGGCACGAAAGCGUGGGGAGCAAACAGG